CUUGGCGACCAUAGCGCUUUGGACCCACCUGAUUCCAUGCCGAACUCAGUAGUGAAACGAAGCAGCGCCGAUGGUAGUGUGGGGUCUCCCCAUGUGAGAGUAGGACAUCGCCAGGC
rnacentral:rRNA from 19 species